rnacentral:rRNA from 1 species
UACAGAGGGGGCAAGCGUUGUUCGGAAUUACUGGGCGUAAAGGGCGCGUAGGCGGCCUGCUAAGUCGAACGUGAAAUCCCUGGGCUCAACCCAGGAACUGCGUCCGAUACUGGUUGGCUUGAAUCCGGGAGAGGGAUGUGGAAUUCCAGGUGUAGCGGUGAAAUGCGUAGAUAUCUGGAGGAACACCAAUGGCGAAGGCAGCUCGCUGGGACGUGACUGACGCUGAGACGCGAAAGCGUGGGGAGCAAACAGGG